rnacentral:lncRNA from 1 species
GGGCGGGCGGGCGCGCGCUGAACAACAAAAACAAGAUAAGCUAACCAGCUUAAUGCGCGCAAUAAAUGACGGCCCUGAGGACACGGGCCGUUGCGAAACAGUUAGUCUAACAGUUACGCAUUGGGCCUUACGCCCAACUAACCCAGCUUACUUAACGCAAGCUCGCAUUAGUUGUUGCUCCAUAGGUAAAUGCCAAAGGAGAAGAUACCCCCUCUAGCGGAAAUAACAAACAAACAAACUGAGCACCAAAACGGCGCAACGCGACGGGCCGCUAGAGGGACAAAGGACGCGAGAGCUGCCAGACAGGCACACACACCGACACGAAAUAAAGCUCCCCAAGCAAAACGCCUCAACGACCUCCAAACGAUACUCCAGCAGCAAGGACGGCGUACACGCCAUCUCUACAUAGGCAAAAGAGCGAACAAACAGAACGCUGCCAAAACCACAAGGACGAGGUCAAACCAGUGCUCUCCAUCCGCGCACAGACUGACCCACCGGCCACAAACGCGACGGAUCCCUCAACAAACGCUGACGGACGCCCACUGAAGGAAUGGACGAUAGACACGCGAGAAUGCCAAACAUGUGCCCGCUAAGGGUUGACUAAACGGCCAACUAGGGCUUGAACUGAACACCGGCUCUGCAAUAACGACCGCUCCACGCGCCCAGGGCACUGACAGCAGGGAUACGGAUGACGAAACCCAGCACGACAAACAGCAAGGUCGGGCCACCUCCGAACCAACAGGUACAACGGCCAACUGUUCAAAUCUUCCACACAGCACCUGCAAUAAAGGCCAACACAAAGAGAGUCUGACAGAGCCACGGAGUGCUGCAAAUGCAACCAACUACUGUAAAAAACGCCGCCAGCAGGGGCUGCCUCCAGCACAGGGCGCUCUUGGUUAACCGAGCAAGACAUACACGGAGCUCACGGAGUUCACGGAGCUCAUGGCACUGAAAAUAAGGCUGAGCAGCACGGGCUUGGAUAAAGCUCUUGGCAGCUAGGAACUGACCCCACAGGAGCCCGACAUAAACGGAGUCAGAAAGAGCCCCAGCCUNNNNNNNNNNNNNNNNNNNNNNNNNNNNNNNNNNNNNNNNNNNNNNNNNNAUUCAGGACGAUGGAACACGACAACCGCCGCCCCCGUUCAUAAUUGACGAAGAGCCAUAUUACAUGGUUGAGGCACUACUUGACCAUCGUGAUGUGAAAAUCCGAGGUGGAACCGGCAAAACACGUCGAGAAUAUCUGGUUAAAUGGGAAGGCUAUGACUCCAGUCAUAACACCUAUGAACCGGAAGAUUCCCUGCGUCAAUCCGUUCCCUUGGCCGAAGCUAUUGACGACUAUGAACGACGGUUGGCGGCAAAGUCCGGGCAACCUACACCAAAAAGGAAAGUGGUCCUGACCACCCCUCCUUCGGUAGCACCCCGGAACAGCACCCCAGAACAACCGAAACGGAAAGCACCUGCUCGCAAGAAAAGGUGACGCUCCCGGGACGGUUCGCUUCUGAGGGGGAGGGAUGUAGCAAGCUACAUUUACCUUAGAAUAUCUUUAAGCUAUUAAAGCUUAAUCACAGUAACGGUACGGUCCCGUAUUUACGAACCAUACUCGUUAACUGUACGAACUCACUUUCUGGUACGCUAUCACAACCUAGCGUACGGCACCAAGACUCCAGGAAUGGAGAUGGCGGCAGGUGGGCCGCAUUUAAGCCACCCAGGUGAAGUGCUUCGGCCAGACACUUAACGUAUCACUAUACUAGUGUUCAGGGUUCAAGACCUUGCUGUCACCGUUCUCGACGUAUGUCUUCGAAUCCCGACUUCCCUUGUCUCUUCUCACGCCUAACGCUGGGUCGCCAAUCGUGGACGAGACCCUCUACUUCCGCUAAAACAGCUAAGGUAAGAGACGGCUGUUACACAACCGCGCACAGACUGACCCACCGGCCACAAAUGCGACGGAUCCCUCAACAAACGCUGACGGACGCCCACUGAAGGAAUGGACGAUAGACACGCGAGAAUGCCAAACAUGUGCCCGCUAAGGGUUGACUAAACGGCCAACUAGGGCUUGAACUGAACACCGGCUCUGCAAUAACGACCGCUCCACGCGCCCAGGGCACUGACAGCAGGGAUACGGAUGACGAAACCCAGCACGACAAACAGCAAGGUCGGGCCACCUCCGAACCAACAGGUACAACGGCCAACUGUUCAAAUCUUCCACACAGCACCUGCAAUAAAGGCCAACACAAAGAGAGUCUGACAGAGCCACGGAGUGCUGCAAAUGCAACCAACUACUGUAAAAAACGCCGCCAGCAGGGGCUGCCUCCAGCACAGGGCGCUCUUGGUUAACCGAGCAAGACAUACACGGAGCUCACGGAGUUCACGGAGCUCAUGGCACUGAAAAUAAGGCUGAGCAGCACGGGCUUGGAUAAAGCUCUUGGCAGCUAGGAACUGACCCCACAGGAGCCCGACAUAAACGGAGUCAGAAAGAGCCCCAGCCUACCGCGACACAGAAAACGCACAAACACAGCGAUGCAAAACUGCCAGGUCUUAGCACCAACCCUGGGACAAGGUAACCUGGCAACCGGCAAAGACAUGCGGAAUGGACCAACCCUAGGCCGGCGAGCGACAGCUGCGAUACCAACAGGUUAUCAAAGACCGGGGAUGUCGCAACGGACUGCAGAUCCAGCGAGAAACCGGGACCUAUUCCGCGCCAAAGGUACUACUCGAAUGUAGUCCCAAAUCCAGCGGGGUUGGAACCAGCGGUACCACCGGAUACCAAGCAAGUGAAACCGCUCCGAAAUCACGAGAAACCAAACGCAGGUUAACACCAAGCGACGAAAAACCAACUACCUGCGCGGUGCCUAAGGAGCGCACACACGACAAAUCCCUACCUAUUCGCUCCACAUAACUGCAUAACUGCUCCCCUGGCGCAAAGCAACUACGGCGUUCCCUCAAAGAUGGUCCCAUAACAAAUAACGCGGCCCACGGGGAAGGGUGAAAUGCUAGGAAAGCGCUCCCAGCGGGGCACACACGCGAACCGAACUUGCAGCGCCUCACGGAACGACCGAGUGCUAAGCAAAGCGCCCACAUGAAGAUUGCACCCGCACUGCUACGACCUGCCAGGAAGGGGGUGGUAGAUAGGUGCUCGACCCACCCUCGCCCGGCGCAAACAGCUCCGUAUUCGACGGCAGGAACACAAGGUCAACCGCCAACUCCAUCAAUUGUUGCCACCAAGGUUGGGCCGUCCAGUACGGCACGACUAGGGUGAGGCACGCUCCCUCCUCGCGCACUUUCUGCACCACAGCGAGCAAGAAGUCGGGGUCCAAGGGUGGGCAGCCAUAUGCAUUAAGCCCUGCCCAAGAUUGCAAGAGAGCAUUGACCCCCGACGAACCCGGACAAUGGUGGCGAGAAAAGAAAACCGGGAGGUGCGUGUUAAUAUGCGUGGCAAACAAGUCGACAUGGUGCGGACCGAAGCGGUGCUCCAAAAGGCGGAAAAACCGGGGAUGCAAGCGGUAAUCAUCACGGUCUACCCAACGCGAGGCUUCAUCUGCCUCGUUGUCAGCACUAGCCACACGCUCGACUUGUAGAACAAUACUAUGCUUCUGCAUGAAUUCCCAUAAUAAUUUUAGUUCGGCAUGCAGAGCUGCCGAGCGCGAAGAAAGACGCCCUAGCACUGCUUGCGUGCACGUGUUGUCCUCCCUAAUUAACACAACACGCUGCUGAACGAACGGGAGGAAGGNN